UACGAAGGGGGCUAGCGUUGCUCGGAAUUACUGGGCGUAAAGGGCGCGUAGGCGGACAGUUAAGUCAGAGGUGAAAGCCCAGGGCUCAACCCUGGAAUAGCCUUUGAUACUGGCUGUCUUGAGUGCGGGAGAGGUGUGUGGAACUGCGAGUGUAGAGGUGAAAUUCGUAGAUAUUCGCAAGAACACCAGUGGCGAAGGCGGCUCACUGGCCCGAUACUGACGCUGAGGCACGAAAGCGUGGGGAGCAAGCAGG
rnacentral:rRNA from 1 species